rnacentral:rRNA from 1 species
GAUGAAUGCUGGCGGCGUGCCUAAUACAUGCAAGUCGAGCGAACAGACGAGGAGCUUGCUCCUCUGACGUUAGCGGCGGACGGGUGAGUAACACGUGGAUAACCUACCUAUGAGACUGGGAUAACUUCGGGAAACCGGAGUUAAUACCGGAUAAUAUAUUGAACCGCAUGGUUCAAUAGUGAAAGACGGUUUUGCUGUCACUUAUAGAUGGAUCCGCGCCGCAUUAGCUAGUUGGUAAGGUAACGGCUUACCAUGGCAACGAUGCGUAGCCGACCUGAGGGGGUGAUCGGCCACACUGGAACUGAGACACGGGCCAGACUCCUACGGGAGGCAGCAGUAGGGAAUCUUCCGCAAUGGGCGAAAGCCUGACGGAGCAACGCCGCGUGAGUGAUGAAGGUCUUCGGAUCGUAAAACUCUGUUAUUAGGGAAGAACAAAUGUGUAAGUAACUAUGCACGUCUUGACGGUACCUAAUCAGAAAGCCACGGCUAACUACGUGCCAGCCGCCGCGGUAA